CGGCACUGAGAGGCCUAGCUACUUAAAAUAAGCAUUAUUCCAGCAACCUGUCAUAAGUCAACCAAUAUGCACAUGAAGGAAAUUGGUCGCCUCCCGAAUUAUUCCUUCCCAUGAAGCAUUCAUCUUUUCGUCUUUUGUAAAAUUUGUUUGGAUGCUUAUUAGCUUUUAUUAUUAGAGGUAAGUUUGCGUACAACUCUUUAAAUUUACAUAUGUGUAAGAUGUUUUGUGAGUAAUUUUUUUUGUUUUAAUGAAAUUCAAAGUUUGAAACUUUAGGUGGGUUUGAUGAAUAACUUUUGUUUGUGGUAGAAGAGAAGGAAAAGGAUAAAGGAAAUGUACAUGGUCGGCAUGUGAGACUCGUCUUUUAAAGCUGAGGGGUUAAUUGAGUAGGGGAGAGGGCUCCAUCAUUAGUUGUUUAUUGACUCCUUUUUGACUUGCAAUACAUAUUAGAUUGUGAUGUGCAUGGUAAAGAUUAGUGGAAGAAACAACAUUUUUAUUUAUAAUCUUGGAUUAGAUAUGAAGCUUUUCUUUCUCCUUAAAAGGAGUGACUUGACUAAGCCCAGCACUACAAUUGAAUUGCUUUGUUUCAUCAUAGAAUUGGCAAAAAGUUGGUUCUUCUUCUUCCUUUUCCUUAUGCUUCUUCAAACAUUAAAG
rnacentral:misc_RNA from 1 species